rnacentral:rRNA from 1 species
GACGUAGGGCGCGAGCGUUGUCCGGAUUUAUUGGGCGUAAAGAGCUCGUAGGCGGCUUGUUGCGUCGGCUGUGAAAGCCCGGGGCUUAACUCCGGGUCUGCAUUCGAUACGGGCAGGCUAGAGUUCGGUAGGGGAGAUCGGAAUUCCUGGUGUAGCGGUGAAAUGCGCAGAUAUCAGGAGGAACACCGGUGGCGAAGGCGGAUCUCUGGGCCGAUACUGACGCUGAGGAGCGAAAGCGUGGGGAGCGAGCAGG